rnacentral:rRNA from 1 species
GACGAACGCUGGCGGCGUGCCUAAUACAUGCAAGUCGAACGAACUCUGGUAUUGAUUGGUGCUUGCAUCAUGAUUUACAUUUGAGUGAGUGGCGAACUGGUGAGUAACACGUGGGAAACCUGCCCAGAAGCGGGGGAUAACACCUGGAAACAGAUGCUAAUACCGCAUAACAACUUGGACCGCAUGGUCCGAGCUUGAAAGAUGGCUUCGGCUAUCACUUUUGGAUGGUCCCGCGGCGUAUUAGCUAGAUGGUGGGGUAAUGGCUCACCAUGGCAAUGAUACGUAGCCGACCUGAGAGGGUAAUCGGCCACAUUGGGACUGAGACACGGCCCAAACUCCUACGGGAGGCAGCAGUAGGGAAUCUUCCACAAUGGACGAAAGUCUGAUGGAGCAACGCCGCGUGAGUGAAGAAGGGUUUCGGCUCGUAAAACUCUGUUGUUAAAGAAGAACAUAUCUGAGAGUAACUGUUCAGGUAUUGACGGUAUUUAACCAGAAAGCCACGGCUAACUACGUGCCAGCAGCCGCGGUAAUACGUAGGUGGCAAGCGUUGUCCGGAUUUAUUGGGCGUAAAGCGAGCGCAGGCGGUUUUUUAAGUCUGAUGUGAAAGCCUUCGGCUCAACCGAAGAAGUGCAUCGGAAACUGGGAAACUUGAGUGCAGAAGAGGACAGUGGAACUCCAUGUGUAGCGGUGAGAUGCGUAGAUAUAUGGAAGAACACCAGUGGCGAAGGCGGCUGUCUGGUCUGUAACUGACGCUGAGGCUCGAAAGUAUGGGUAGCAAACAGGAUUAGAUACCCUGGUAGUCCAUACCGUAAACGAUGAAUGCUAAGUGUUGGAGGGUUUCCGCCCUUCAGUGCUGCAGCUAACGCAUUAAGCAUUCCGCCUGGGGAGUACGGCCGCAAGGCUGAAACUCAAAGGAAUUGACGGGGGCCCGCACAAGCGGUGGAGCAUGUGGUUUAAUUCGAAGCUACGCGAAGAACCUUACCAGGUCUUGACAUACUAUGCAAAUCUAAGAGAUUAGACGUUCCCUUCGGGGACAUGGAUACAGGUGGUGCAUGGUUGUCGUCAGCUCGUGUCGUGAGAUGUUGGGUUAAGUCCCGCAACGAGCGCAACCCUUAUUAUCAGUUGCCAGCAUUAAGUUGGGCACUCUGGUGAGACUGCCGGUGACAAACCGGAGGAAGGUGGGGAUGACGUCAAAUCAUCAUGCCCCUUAUGACCUGGGCUACACACGUGCUACAAUGGAUGGUACAACGAGUUGCGAACUCGCGAGAGUAAGCUAAUCUCUUAAAGCCAUUCUCAGUUCGGAUUGUAGGCUGCAACUCGCCUACAUGAAGUCGGAAUCGCUAGUAAUCGCGGAUCAGCAUGCCGCGGUGAAUACGUUCCCGGGCCUUGUACACACCGCCCGUCACACCAUGAGAGUUUGUAACACCCAAAGUCGGUGGGGUAACCUUUUAGGAACCAGCCGCCUAAGGUGGGACAGAUGAUUAGGGU